GGCGGGUUCGCCACCGGCUUCCUCCUCGGGUUCGUGCUGCUGAUCCAGCCCCAGUUCGGGUGGCUGGAGCAGCCCUUCGGCUCCAAGUCCAAAUCCAAGUACAAGGCGUAUCAGAUCAUCCUCCUGCUUCUUGCACUGGUCUUGUUGGCUGCAGGGUAAGCAUAAUUCGUGGUCAUACAGACUGAAAGCUCUCAACCAGAGUAUGUCGAUCCUAACAUUUGGUUAUGCAUUUGCAUCAGGUUUGCUGUUGGAUUGGUGAUGGUGUUCAGGGGAGAGAACGGCAACGACCACUGCCGCUGGUGCCACUUCCUCACCUGCGUGCCGACGUCAAGCUGGAAGUGUGACAAUUGAGCUGAACGGAGAUUAGUGACGCGUUAGCGUGCUUGCGUCUUGCAGAAGUGAGAACAUGCGCCCCCACCAUUGGAAACAAUGUCAAGAUAGAUACAUGUCCC
rnacentral:lncRNA from 1 species